rnacentral:misc_RNA from 1 species
GCAGGUUUCGUUAGAAAAAAUGCUAUGGAUUUAGAUAUGAGGAGGGUUUUAACCUUAGAUUCAGGAAAUUAACGAAAACCCAACAAACACCACCAAAAACCUUUGAAAAUAAGAAAAAGGGACUAAAAAUAUACAGUAAAGGCUUAAAUUUUGGGCCUGAAACAGAUUGACAAGGUUGGAAACUGGUGAUGGGUACUUGUAAAAGAAGGAGAAGUGGUGAUGAGAAGAUAAGGAGGUGCAGAAGAA